CCCUCUGGGUUGUAAACUUCUUUUAUCUGGGACGAAAAAAGCUCAUUCUUGAGCACUUGACGGUACCAGAGGAAUAAGCACCGGCUAACUCCGUGC
rnacentral:rRNA from 1 species